rnacentral:lncRNA from 1 species
UAGGGAGCGUGAUCGGAGCCGUCGGCGGAAGAAACAGCGACAAGGCGGUGCUUGAUUGGCUUUUACCGAACGUUUUGGAGUUUCUAAGCAGCGAUGAUUGGCAUGCGAGGAAAGCUGCUGCGGAGGCGAUGGCUAGAGUUGCUAUGGCGGAACAAGAGUUAGCUCCGUUGUAUAAGAAGGCAUGUGUAGGUAUCAUGGAGAGCAGAAGAUUUGAUAAGGUUAAGCUUGUUAGGGAGACGAUGAAUCGUACGUUGAGUUUAUGGAAGCAACUUGAAGGUGAUGAUUCUACAGAGAUCUCAGAGUCUUCUUCUUCCUCCAAAUCAGCUUCUUCUGGUUCAUCUGCGACUUCAAGGCAAAGAAGCAAUACAUUGA